UACGGGGGGAGCAAGCGUUGUUCGGAUUUACUGGGCGUAAAGGGCGCGUAGGCGGUCAGCACAAGUCAGUUGUGAAAUCUCCGGGCUUAACCCGGAGCGGUCAAGUGAUACUGUCGUGCUAGAGUGCGGAAGGGGCUACUGGAAUUCUCGGUGUAGCGGUGAAAUGCGUAGAUAUCGAGAGGAACACCUGCGGCGAAGGCGGGUAACUGGGCCGACACUGACGCUGAUGCGCGAAAGCCAGGGGAGCGAACGGG
rnacentral:rRNA from 1 species